UCUCAGCACUCACCAUCUUCUUAACCAGAAAUGCUUAGAGCAAGUUAUGCUGACUGUACUAAGUAUGGUCAAGUCUCAAAUGCAUAUGAAAUAGAUUGAAGAUUCUAUUAUGCACCAAUUCGAUAUCACAAUAAAAUUGGAAACAAACCAUACCAGCUAUGGUGCGAAAGUCAUUCUGAGAGAGAAAACAGAAGAGGAACUGAUAUUGGGCCAGACUGACUGCCUUUUCUGCCUACUUUGGGAUGGCUCUGAUGGACUCUCGUCAGGGCUCCCUGCUCCAAAUAUCUUACCCACUCUCUAUCACAGUGUUGAAGGUUUCAUUAAUUAAAGAUGCAUUUCUAUAGA